UCAGAUGACCCCGAGGCGGCUCCUGAAAAGGUGGAGGUGGAGCUGGUGGGGCCAGAACCCUGGGCGCCCCCCACCCCCCCACAGGGCAACUGGGGCUGGCUAGUGAUGCUGGCGGACAUGUGGUGCAACUGUUGGUGUUCUGCUUCCAGAACACCUGCAGGGUGCUCUUCAUGUCCAUGCUCCAGACUUUCCGGUCCAAGGACAAUGACAAGAUGAUCUUCAAGACAGCAUGGGAAAAAAUUCAGUCCUCCAAAAAAGUUUUCAAUUUUGCCAUCUUCAAGGUGACAGCUUGUGCAAUGUGGGCAGUUGGAAUACCACUUGCACUUUUUGGAUACUUUGUACCUUGCGUUCACUUGGUGAGUAUGCAUCUUUGGCUCUUCUGGUAAUAGAUACUAUCAUUUCAUGCUAGAAAAUUCCUUAGAAGAACAAGAUAGAUCAGGUUGAAGUUGGCCUCAGACAUUAUUCUGGUUGUAAUUUGGGGA
rnacentral:lncRNA from 1 species